AGAAGCAGCCAACAAUUUUCAAACUUUGGCUCGAAAAAGUUAGUUAUCCAUUGCUCAACUCUAAAACUCCUCAACAAAUUUGUAAGAAGUGAAAUUAGAUAGCCUUAAAGGAAUUUGACAACUGCUAUCCCUGAAUUAUUUCUUCCUGGAUCUUCAAAUCAAGGGGAAGAUGGAGAAGUUCAUGACACUGAAGGAAUACAUCUCCAAAGUGAUGUUGAGAGGGAAGCAUCAACAGAGACUUUGAAGAAUUUUAAGCACCCUCAGAAAACUUCAAUAAUAUAUAGAAAAAGAUAUCGAGGACAACAAUUAAUUGACACUAGAGGCUGUGGGCACUGCAGAGCUGAUCAUUUUUAUGGAUAAGCUGUUUGAUAGCCUGAAUAUGCAAUUGUGAAGGACACAUUAAAAAUUUGGCAUACUAGAAAUAUUUAAAAAAAUGUAAAAUUUUAAAUAGAUGAUUUUUUUAUAUGAA